UACGGAGGGUGCAAGCGUUAAUCGGAAUUACUGGGCGUAAAGCGUGCGCAGGCGGUUGGUUAAGUCUGAUGUGAAAGCCCCGAGCUCAACUUGGGAAUGGCAUUGGAAACUGGCUGGCUAGAGUGUGGCAGAGGGGGGUGGAAUUCCGCGUGUAGCAGUGAAAUGCGUAGAGAUGCGGAGGAACACCGAUGGCGAAGGCAGCCCCCUGGGCUGACACUGACGCUCAGGCACGAAAGCGUGGGGAGCAAACAGG
rnacentral:rRNA from 1 species